rnacentral:lncRNA from 1 species
CAUGAAAAGUUAGCAAAAGAUGUGUACUUAUAUUAAAUAUUUAUUAAGUGAAUACUAUUUGUUUUCUAGUAUCUAGUACAAGUAACAGACAUACAAGGUUUAGUAUAACAUAUCAUUUAUAGACCUUUCACUCCAGUUAUUCCCCCUCCCUCCUAAAAAAAUUCCUCCAUCUCUCAGGGAAAUUGUUUUGGGAAUACCCUCGUUCCAGGUCUAUAACUGAUAUUAGUUGUAUAACCACUGAUACGCACGGCUCGUUUUAAUCUACAUUAAAGUAAAAAGAGUGCAUGCAAGAAGUGUGUUAGACUGUCAGUUGUAAUAUAAACCAGGACUUACGAGUGGUGUCAAAGCAGCUGGGAAAACAUAAAUGAUAGAAACGAUAGUGUGAUAAUAUCAAUUGUUUAAUCAUUUACCCACCCUUUCUGCGUACAGUCAUUGUCAUAAAUGUAUUAGAUAAAACUCACGCGAAUGGUACAUAAUGUCCAUAUUGUUCCACAUACAUCCUUCGAAAGAAAUCUUCACUUAGUUGAUCGUUGUCUUGGCUACCAUCUUGGCUACUGUUAUCAGUAGCGAAUUCAUUCCACUCUUC